UGUUUCAGAGCGUUGGCCAGUUUCC
rnacentral:ncRNA from 2 species